AGAGUUUGAUCAUGGCUCAGAACGAACGCUGGCGGCGUGCCUAACACAUGCAAGUCGAGCGCGAGAGGGGGGGCAACUCCCCGAGUAGAGCGGCGCACGGGUGAGUAACGCGUGGGUAACCUACCUCCGGGCGGGGGAUAACCACUCGAAAGGGUGGCUAAUACCGCAUGAGACCACGGGAUCCUCGGAUCCUGGGGCCAAAGGUGGCACCGGCUUGCCGGUGCUGUCACCGGGAGAUGGGCCCGCGUACGAUUAGCUUGUUGGUAGGGUAACGGCCUACCAAGGCUACGAUCGUUAGCUGGUCUGAGAGGAUGACCAGCCACACUGGAACUGGAACACGGUCCAGACUCCUACGGGAGGCAGCAGUGAGGAAUAUUGCGCAAUGGGGGAAACCCUGACGCAGCAACGCCGCGUGGGUGAAGAAGGCCUUCGGGUCGUAAAGCCCUUUCGGACGGGACGAACGCCUCGCGGGGAUAAUCCGCGAGGUCUGACGGUACCGUAGGAAGAAGCACCGGCUAACUCCGUGCCAGCAGCCGCGGUAAUACGGAGGGUGCAAGCGUUGUUCGGAAUUACUGGGCGUAAAGCGCGUGUAGGCGGCCUGGUAAGUCAGAUGUGAAAGCCCUCGGCUUAACCGGGGAAGUGCAUCUGAAAACUGCCUGGCUUGAGUACGGGAGAGGGAGGCGGAAUUCCCAGUGUAGAGGUGAAAUUCGUAGAGAUUGGGAGGAACACCGGUGGCGAAAGCGGCCUCCUGGACCGAUACUGACGCUGAGACGCGAAAGCGUGGGGAGCAAACAGGAUUAGAUACCCUGGUAGUCCACGCUGUAAACGAUGGGCACUAGGUGUGGGGGGUAUCCACUCCUCCCGUGCCGCAGCUAACGCAUUAAGUG
rnacentral:rRNA from 1 species